rnacentral:rRNA from 1 species
UACGUAGGGUGCAAGCGUUGUCCGGAAUUAUUGGGCGUAAAGAGCUCGUAGGCGGUCUGUUGCGUCCGCUGUGAAAACUCGGGGCUUAACCCCGAGCCUGCAGUGGAUACGGGCAGACUAGAGGUAGGUAGGGGAGAAUGGAAUUCCCGGUGUAGCGGUGAAAUGCGCAGAUAUCGGGAGGAACACCGGUGGCGAAGGCGGUUCUCUGGGCCUGUACUGACGCUGAGGAGCGAAAGCGUGGGGAGCGAACAGG